rnacentral:rRNA from 1 species
GACGUAGGGUGCAAGCGUUGUCCGGAUUUAUUGGGCGUAAAGAGCUCGUAGGCGGCUUGUUGCGUCGACUGUGAAAACCCGCGGCUUAACCGCGGGCUUGCAGUUGAUACGGGCAGGCUAGAGUUCGGUAGGGGAGACUGGAAUUCCUGGUGUAGCGGUGAAAUGCGCAGAUAUCAGAAGGAACACCGGUGGCGAAGGCGGGUCUCUGGGCCGAUACUGACGCUGAGGAGCGAAAGCGUGGGGAGCAAACAGG